CCCUAGUAUAUUUAAUUGAUGAUGAAAUUAGUAAUUUAUGAAAAUUAAUAAUACUGGCGGUUAAUUAUAUAUUGGAGGAGCUUGUUUUUUUUAAGAUUUUACUCUUUAUAUUUUAAUAUUUAAUUUUUGUUUAUUCAUCUCUGUUAUUAGAUAAUGAUUAAAGUUAAAUUAAUAGUUUGAUAUUUCAGGUCAAGAUGUAGUAUUAUAUAUUGGAAAUUAGCUACAUUUAUAAAAUAAUGGAAUUUAGUAUAUAAUUGUUAAUUUAAAUUGAAUUUAGUUGUAAUAUUAAUUAGAAUUUUAUUAUGAUUUGGAAUAAUUAAUGU
rnacentral:rRNA from 1 species